rnacentral:rRNA from 1 species
AGCCAUGCCGCGUGUGUGAAGAAGGCCUUCGGGUUGUAAAGCACUUUCAGCGAGGAGGAAAGGUUAAGUCUUAAUACGGCUUAGCUGUGACGUUACUCGCAGAAGAAGCACCGGCUAACUUCGUGCCAGCAGCCGCGGUAAUACGAGGGGUGCAAGCGUUAAUCGGAAUUACUGGGCGUAAAGCGUACGCAGGCGGUUUGUUAAGCAAGAUGUGAAAGCCCCGGGCUCAACCUGGGAACUGCAUUUUGAACUGGCAAACUAGAGUCUUGUAGAGGGGGGUAGAAUUUCAGGUGUAGCGGUGAAAUGCGUAGAGAUCUGAAGGAAUACCGGUGGCGAAGGCGGCCCCCUGGACAAAGACUGACGCUCAGGUACGAAAGCGUGGGGAGCAAACAGGAUUAGAUACCCUGGUAGUCCACGCCGUAAACGAUGUCUACUCGGAGUUUGGUGUCUUGAACACUGGGCUCUCAAGCUAACGCAUUAAGUAGACCGCCUGGGGAGUACGGCCGCAAGGUUAAAACUCAAAUGAAUUGACGGGGGCCCGCACAAGCGGUGGAGCAUGUGGUUUAAUUCGAUGCAACGCGAAGAACCUUACCUACUCUUGACAUCCAGAGAAUUCGCUAGAGAUAGCUUAGUGCCUUCGGGAACUCUGAGACAGGUGCUGCAUGGCUGUCGUCAGCUCGUGUUGUGAAAUGUUGGGUUAAGUCCCGCAACGAGCGCAACCCUUAUCCUUAUUUGCCAGCACGUAAUGGUGGGAACUUUAGGGGAGACUGCCGGGUGAUAAACCGGGAGGAAGGGGGGGGACGACGCCAAAGUCAUCAUGGGCCCUUACGAAGUAGGGCUUACACACGGUGCCUACAAUGGGUCCGGUACAAAAGGGUUUGCGAAAGCCGCUGAGGGUGGAAGCCUAAUCUUCACAAAAGCCCGGUUCGUAGUCUCGGAUUCGGAAUUCUGGCAACUUCGAACUCCGUUGAAUGUCGGAAAUCGCUUAGUUAAUCCGUAAAAUCAAGAAUUGCUUACUGGUGGAAUUACCGUUUCCCUGGGGCCCUU